ensembl:snoRNA
AUACCAGCCACUUAAUCUGCUUAUCUGAACAUGCUUCUGCAGAAAUUUAUUAAAAACUACCAAUAGUGAUGCUAUUUUAUGAGCCUUAAAGAUAGCUGAAGUCAUUAAGAGCCCUGAAAGUGGCUACAAUA